rnacentral:miRNA from 1 species
AGGCGGAGACUUGGGCAAUUGCC